rnacentral:misc_RNA from 1 species
UCCGAGUUGACCCCGGCAGUCUCCUACGAGUCCCCGGCAUUACCCGCUGGCAACAUAGGACAAGGGUUGCGCUCGUUGCGGGACUUAACCCAACAUCUCACGACACGAGCUGACGACAACCAUGCACCACCUGUGCACCGGCCCCGAAGGGAGGCCCUAUUUCUAGGGCUUUCCAGUGCAUGUCAAGCCUCGGUAAGGUUCUUCGCGUCGCGUCGAAUUAAACCACAUGCUCCGCUGCUUGUGCGGGCCCCCGUCAAUUCCUUUGAGUUUCAGCCUUGCGGCCGUACUCCCCAGGCGGGGCACUUAAUGCGUUAGCGCCGGCCCUCGGGGGGUCGCUCCCCCAAGCGCCUAGUGCCCAUCGUUUACGGCGUGGACUAC